rnacentral:lncRNA from 1 species
GUAGACAUUUGUCAUGACACCACCUUUCCUUAACAUAGAACCGAAGACCGUUGCGCAGACUAUGGCCUGCUUGUUUGUUAUCAGCAUUUGGUUACGUAUCCCAGAAAUGUAUGAAUUCAAGGAGGUACAGCAAGAAGGGCUUGGAGCAGCCGCAUUACGGCACGCCUUGACCACUUCCGUAUCAAGGAGGUACAGCAAGAAGGGCUUGGAGCAGCCGCAUUACGGCAAGCCUUGACCACUUCCGUUGGCUCCUUAAACUCCAAGGGGCAAACUGUAAACUCCACAAUGUAAAGUCAGAACCAAUGUUCAAGAAAUCCGUAGGCUGUAACUAGGCCUUUUGUAGAGAACUAGCAACUAAGCAGAUUAUUCGAGGCCUAGGCCAGGCCGAAACAUUAACGAAUUAU